GGAUAAUUUCACGUUUGAUUCAUCUUUAAAGUGAAUUUCAACAGAAAGGAGUAAAUGAGUAAGAGAAUGGCAGACAAUUAUAAUUAUUAUAUAUGUCGCUCUCUCUUUCUCUCUCCAAUGAAAUAAAAAUUUAAAUUCAACGAAAUAGUUUUCUGAAAAUUAAAAAUAAAAAACAACAAAAUAAAAUUGUUCAAGCAGUCUGCGGAGGUGGACCUUUGGGUGGAGUCGGGCGUGUCGGACCUCUGGCGUCGUUGAUGGCCUUUUCUUCUACACUUACUUUCUGCAAAUCAAACAUGGUAGAUCUCUACAUGAAUACCAAUUUCCUAUUUCAAUUAAGCAAAAACAAAGCACUUUCAUUACAAAACCUCCAUGGAUUCAGACUUGGCUUCUUCUCCAUCUUCAUUUCCUGGAAUCGUAAAAAAGAUAAUUGGCAUGUUAGAUGAUCUGCAUCAAUUAUGAAAACGCACUUGAAUAAUAAGGUUUUACCUGCAGAUGAUGAUUUGCUUCCUUUGAUGGCUUCAGGCAUGCUGAGAAAUCGAUUAUUCAGAUCUUCAGCAAAUUUCUCCAUUGAAAUCUCUCUUUUGGGUUUUUGCGGCAGAUGUCAUCAACUCUUAUACAGCUCGUUUGGUGCUUGAAGUGAUCUGUCGGUGACACACCGCCAUAUGCUUAGCUGUAUAGAAUUCUAUACUAAUCCACUUUGUUUCUGGAUGGAAGCACUGAGAGCGUGAGAGUAGAUCAGCGUAACUGAGAGUACCCGAUUGCCGACCAAUGCAAUUUCGGUCUUUGCUUACUAAUUAGAGAAUUAUAA
rnacentral:misc_RNA from 1 species